GGUCGGCCGGGCGGUCGCGUCGCGCGCAAGCGCGCCGAGGAACGUCCGGGCUCCGCAGGGCAGGGCGGUGGGUAACACCCACCCGGAGAGAUCCGCGAGAAAGUGCAGCAGAGAGCAGACCGCCGGCAUCCGUGCCGGUAAGGGUGAAACGGUGGUGUAAGAGACCACCAGGGGCCGUGGCGACACGGCUCGCUGGGUAAACCUCGCCCGGAGCAAGACCAACAGGGAACGCUGAGGCUGCCCGCCGAGUUCCCGGGUAGGUUGCUGGAGCGGCACGGCAACGUGUCGCCGAGAGAGAUGGCCGUCGAGGGGGAUCCGUCUCCCAGACAGAACCCGGCGUACAGGCCGGCCCA
rnacentral:RNase_P_RNA from 1 species